UUCUUCUGUUCCUUAAACCAUGUUUAUGAACCUCCUGCCUUACAGUGUAGUUAGAUAGGGUUUCCUUAACAUCGAAGUAACAUUAUAGAUGUAUAAACAAUUUAACGUCAUAAUUUGUAAUUCACAAAAAACUUUAAUACACGACUGUCUGUUAGAUGAAAUAUUGUUAUUAACUGUAACACUUUCUUUUCCAGAUAAAGUUUUUUCCUGACUUCCUGCUAUUUCCCAAAGGGUCGUACCAUAUGAAAAAUGUGAGUGAAAAGACACAUAGUUGACUGAGAUUACCAUAUAUACUUGUAUAUUUGAAUAUUUUUUUAAAAUCUUCGGAUCAAGUAAGAAAAUCUAGCUAAUUUUUGAGGGAUUAUGUUCUGAUAAUAAAUACCUUUAAAAUGAUAUGCAUAUUGAUAAUUGGAUUUAAAAUUUGUGACUACUUCCCAUGAGUCAUUGCCCAAUGUAGGGGUGUGAUGGUUAUUGUAUAAAAUUGUAUAAGAUAGCCAUAUAACAUUGUGCAGUUAAUAGAUUUUAUCUGCUAUGGUUUAAGAAAAUUGUGUUUCCAGACACUUUACACACCCUGUUUGUAUAUUUAAAAGGAAAUCUUUACAUGAAGACUGCUACUGACAAAAAAAUAGUCAUUACAAAUGUUCUACCAGAGAAGGAGCAGGAUGUAUAGAAUCCAAAAGGAAAUCCUGUUUUAUCUAAUCAGACCAGAUUGUACUAGUUCAACCCCACAAGCACAUAGAAGUGGUAAUCUUAUCUUUGCACUGAUAAGUUCACUAGGCCAUUGAGUGAUCAUUCAGCCAACCAGUUAGUCUGUAACCAAAUAUGGAAACCAUCACACUUGAGGAGCAACAAGCAUUGCUUAGAGGGCUUCUAGAAGCAAUCAACUGUCCAGUGUGCUUCAACAUUCUACAGCCGUUGUGUGUCAUCCAGUGUAUCAAUGGUCAUUGGAUGUGUAAAGACUGUAGAGUUAAACUAAGCCUGUGCCCAACAUGCCGUGGUAGCUUCAGCCCCUACAAUAACAACUCAUCACUGAACCAAGUCUUAGAACUAUUCCCACACAUGUGCAAAUUUGAAGGCUGUGAAGAAAUUGUAAGACCUAAUGAUGAUCAUGAGACGUGGUGCGGUUUUCGUCCAACGAAAUGCAAAAUUUGCCAGUGGACUGGUUGUGGUAAAGAUAUUUUGGAUCAUGUCAAACUGAAACAUUCAGAGAAAGUCAUUCUUGAUGAAAAAAAUGAAUGUAGACGUUUCGAUCGUUGUAAUGAUAAAACGAUCCAAAAUUGUGAUACCUAUAUGCCAAUUUUUGCUCAUGGUCAGUUUUUUUGGAUGUAUUCAGAAAAUAGUAUAGAAAAAAUGUCAUUUGCAAAAAUAUUUACUUUAGUCCCAAAUGGAAAAAUUGAUUGUAGUUAUGAAAUGAAGUUUGUCUUGAGAAAUUCUAACAACGUAUAUGCUGUUUCCACUUUUUUGAAUGAUGAUACAGUUUUAAAUUUUAAUGGAAAUGACAACAAAUUCACUCUUCAUUUCUCAAUAUUAAGAAAUUUUAGUUAUGAAGGAAAGUUAACAUAUGAUUUCUAUGUGAAUAAAUUAAAUCAGAAAUAAAUGAAUGCAUUCUAAUAAUUAA
rnacentral:lncRNA from 1 species